rnacentral:tRNA from 1 species
AGUAAGGUGGCUGAUAAAGGUGUUAGAUUGUAAAUCUAUUUAUGGAAAUUUCCUCUUACUA